CUACGGGAGGCAGCAGUGGGGAAUCUUGCACAAUGGGGGAAACCCUGAUGCAGCGACGCCGCGUGAGCGAUGAAGCCCUUCGGGGUGUAAAGCUCUUUCGACGGGAACGAUAAUGACGGUACCCGGAGAAGAAGCUGCGGCUAACUACGUGCCAGCAGCCGCGGUAAUACGUAGGCAGCGAGCGUUGUUCGGAGUUACUGGGCGUAAAGAGUAUGUAGGCGGUUGCGCAAGUUUGGUGUGAAAUCUCCCGGCUCAACUGGGAGGGUGCGCCGAAAACUGCGCGGCUAGAGUGCGGGAGGGGAGAGCGGAAUUCCUGGUGUAGCGGUGAAAUGCGUAGAUAUCAGGAGGAACACCGGCGGUGUAGACGGCUCUCUGGACCGCGACUGACGCUGAGAUACGAAAGCGUGGGGAGCAAACAGGAUUAGAUACCCUGGUAGA
rnacentral:rRNA from 1 species